rnacentral:rRNA from 1 species
CCUACGGGUGGCUGCAGUGGGGAAUAUUGGACAAUGGGCGAAAGCCUGAUCCAGCAAUGCCGCGUGAGUGAUGAAGGCCUUAGGGUUGUAAAGCUCUUUUACCCGGGAUGAUAAUGACAGUACCGGGAGAAUAAGCCCCGGCUAACUCCGUGCCAGCAGCCGCGGUAAUACGGAGGGGGCUAGCGUUGUUCGGAAUCACUGGGCGUAAAGCGUGCGUAGGCGGUGACUCAAGUCAGAGGUGAAAGCCUGGAGCUCAACUCCAGAACUGCCUUUGA